rnacentral:rRNA from 1 species
UACGGGGAGGCAAGCGUUGUUCGGAAUUACGUGGCGUAAAGGGCGCGUAGGCGGUUCGUCUAAGUCGGAUGAUGAAACUCUGGGCUCAACCCAGAGCCUGCAUCCGAAACUGGCGGGCUAGAGUUCUGGAGGGGUAGCGGAAUUCCUGGUGUAGCGGUGAAAUGCGUAGAUAUCAGGAGGAAUACCGAUGGCGAAGGCAGGUCUCUGGGCUGACACUGACGCUCAUGCACGAAAGCGUGGGGAGCAAACAGG